UGCAUCGGUCGGGAAUCGAACCCGGGCCGCCCGCGUGGCAGGCGAGCAUUCUACCACUAAGCCACCGAUGC
rnacentral:tRNA from 1 species